GCGAAUGUGGCGGAAUUGGUAGACGCGCUGGUUUUAGGUACCAGUAUCUUUGAUGUGAGAGUUCGAGUCUCUCCAUUCGCACCA
rnacentral:tRNA from 2 species